GCAAGUCAACUUGAAACUUACUUCGGUAAGUGAAUGGUGGCGGACGGGUGAGUAACGCGUGAAGAACUUGCCCUCAGGAAAGGGACAACACAUCGAAAGGUGUGCUAAUACCUUAUAUGCUCACAGUAUUGCAUAAUACAGUGAGGAAAGAUUUAUCGCCUGAGGAGAGCUUCGCGUUCCAUUAGCUAGUUGGUGGGGUAACGGCCUACCAAGGCGACGAUGGAUAGCCGGCCUUAACGGGUGGGC
rnacentral:rRNA from 1 species